rnacentral:rRNA from 1 species
AGGCAACCUGCCCUUUAGCCUGGGAUAACUACCGGAAACGGUAGCUAAUACCGGAUACUUUCUUUUUCUGCAUGGGAGAAGAACGAAAGACGGAGCAAUCUGUCACUGAAGGAUGGGCCUGCGGCGCAUUAGCUAGUUGGUGGGGUAACGGCUCACCAAGGCGACGAUGCGUAGCCGACCUGAGAGGGUGAUCGGCCACACUGGGACUGAGACACGGCCCAGACUCCUACGGGAGGCAGCAGUAGGGAAUCUUCCGCAAUGGGCGAAAGCCUGACGGAGCAACGCCGCGUGAGUGAUGAAGGUUUUCGGAUCGUAAAGCUCUGUUGCCAGGGAAGAACGUCUUGGAGAGUAACUGCUCUGAGAGUGACGGUACCUGAGAAGAAAGCCCCGGCUAACUACGUGCCAGCAGCCGCGGUAAUACGUAGGGGGCAAGCGUUGUCCGGAAUUAUUGGGCGUAAAGCGCGCGCAGGCGGCCGUUUAAGUCCGGUGUUUAAUCCCGAAGCUCAACUUCGGGUCGCACUGGAAACUGGAGGGCUUGAGUGCAGAAGAGGAGAGUGGAAUUCCACGUGUAGCGGUGAAAUGCGUAGAGAUGUGGAGGAACACCAGUGGCGAAGGCGACU